AUUUCAUUCCAUUUACAAGUUGUCAAUUUAUUAAUUGUCUUUUGUUUGGAGCGCUCCUGUCAAUCUUGAGUAAGGACAAGCAUCUGAUUACGCAUAAAAGUAGUCCUAGGCUACCUGGCCUAAUUACAAAUGUAGGCCUGUAAAUGUGCCCAUUUGGGGAGCUGAUACUAUUUCUGAUUGUCUUAAAUCACCAUCACUCCUCAAAGUAAUCAUUCUUCGCCUCAAACAGUUUGACUGUAUAGCAACUACGAUGCCCAUAGACAGCUAGCUGCGGGCUGGAGCUGAAUAAAAUUAUUGAAGAUACCAAGAAAAGCAGAGCUGUGUUGUGAACACCAGUAAUCAAGUCAGCAAGACUAUUCAAGCUAUUGAAUCAAUAAUGGAUGAAGAUGAGCGCUCGGCAAAGGCCAUCUGUAAUCUGCUGGCAUCACAGCACAACAUCUACAUCGCUCUAAUCGCAGUCAGAAGACAGUUGAAGAAACUUGCGUGGACUUAUGGAAAGGCUUGUUUCGACCCAGUGAUUCGUCUGACAAACAAAGAACUUCGCGACCAGGCAUGGAUCAAAGCUGGCGAGACAUUCAAUGACACCAUCUUCAAAGACUAAUCAACGGUGACCCUUGAGCAAUUUGCUCAAAAUUGCCACAGAAAAAAGGAAGAAGAUCAAGCAAGCCGAGUCCCAAGCAUCCCCUUAUUAAUGAAAGCAUAAAGGUGUUGAUGAAGAACUGUUAGGGCCAAAUUGGGGGAUUUUCACACCUACAGAAGCCGGGCUAUGAAGAGUCUAUUGUCCUGCUAAUACAAAACAUUGUUUGCAUGAUGGACUACACCUGCUACAGUACACUUGUGCAAAACAAGUUUUCAAACACUUGUUUGAAAACAGCCUCCAGCUGUCCAUCAAAAUGCCUCCAGCUGUCCAGCAUCUUGUUUACAUUCUUUAUUGUAUCCACAAUGUCAAAUACUUUGUAUUACUUUUAGAGCUUGGGAUUUACAAAUGUGCGCUGUGAGAAUAUCUAAUAAUAAUAAUUGCCUUGUAAAUAAGGAUGCAUUAUGAAAGGAAAAUGACAUGCGGAAGAGACAGUGGUAAUAUUUUUCCUUUUAGAGACUAUAAUACUAUACAUGGCGUCCAUGUCAUUUUCGUUUCUCUUAGAAUAAAAAUCUUAGUAUAACAACCGUUUUAGUAAGUAAUAUGRUACAGUCCAGUUACAGCUUGUUCUGAUCAAGUAGAGUGUGUGUGCAGGACAGAGGAAUCGCAAUUCUUACGCUAUUGUUCAGGAGUAACAGAAAAUUGCGUGUCAAUUAAUAAACCCAUGUGCCAAUGAAAAUAUCUCUUCCCAACUAUUUUGCAAUCUAUAUGGCUCUUCGCUAAUAAUUACAUUUAGAAGAUUGGAGUAUUCAAAAUUAAUAUCUAAGGGGCAUUUUUUGUUAGGGCAAAUCUGGAAAAUAACAUGUGUAAGAGACGGUGGUAAUAUUUUUCCUUUUAUACUUAAUUGUGUGGCAAUGGUGCGUCGCCCUAUGGGACUCCCAAUCACGGCCGGAUGUGAUACA